rnacentral:rRNA from 1 species
GACGUAGGGCGCGAGCGUUGUCCGGAUUUAUUGGGCGUAAAGAGCUCGUAGGCGGCUUGUCGCGUCGACUGUGAAAUCCCGCGGCUCAACCUCGGGCCUGCAGUGGGUACGGGCAGACUAGAGUGCGGUAGGGGAGAUUGGAAUUCCUGGUGUAGCGGUGGAAUGCGCAGAUAUCAGGAGGAACACCAAUGGCGAAGGCAGAUCUCUGGGCCGUAACUGACGCUGAGGAGCGAAAGCAUGGGGAGCGAACAGG